CAGACACACACAUACAGACAUAUAGACAGACAUAUACACACACACACACACACACACACAGACAUACAUACAGUCACACACACAAACACAUAUACAAAAUAUUUUGACCUUACUGGGGUCCAGUGGUGGCUCAGCCUGAUGGGAGUCAGAGUUCCCACUCUGACUCCCUCCUCUCAGGCAGGCUCUGUGUGAUUGCUGGGAGGAGUGACCAGGGCUGUCGCUUCCUCCCAGCGGCGGACAUCAUCUCAGGGGACCCGGUCACGCUGUUAAAGCAAUGCAGCACUGACAAGGCCCCCUGGAUAUUCAUUGUUAUCGGGUGGCCCUAACAGAAUGGCCC